rnacentral:rRNA from 1 species
UGGGGAAUAUUGCACAAUGGGCGAAAGCCUGAUGCAGCAACGCCGCGUGAGGGAAGACGGUUUUCGGAUUGUAAACCUCUGUUUUCGGUGACGAACAAAUGACGGUAACCGAGUAGGAAGCCACGGCUAACUACGUGCCAGCAGCCGCGGUAAUACGUAGGUGGCAAGCGUUAUCCGGAAUUACUGGGUGUAAAGGGAGCGCAGGCGGGAUAGCAAGUCAGCUGUGAAAACUAUGGGCUCAACCCGGUGUCGCCGUUGAAACUGGCGUGCUCGAGUGCGUGCGAGGAAGGCGGAAUGCGUUGUGUAGCGGUGAAAUGCAUAGAUAUGACGCAGAACUCCGAUUGCGAAGGCAGCUUUCCAGCACGCCACUGACGCUGAGGCACGAAAGCGUGGGGAUCGAACAGGAUUAGAUACCCUGGUAGU